rnacentral:rRNA from 1 species
AUGAGUGCCACAUGGGCGGGUACACGAAAACUCCCAAUAUUUAUUCAUAACCGCAUUCCAGUUGUACCCGACUCUUGCUCGUUCAUGGGUUACAUGGUUCAGCUCCUGACUGCAAGCUACUACCUUACACGGAAACCCACAAUUUCAUCUGAAACUUAUAACAACCUCAACGAUAGGUGCAUAAGAAAAGGAAAAGGAGGAAGCAUGCACAGUGCCUGCAGCCCAAGCAGCUCACACCCUGUUCUUCUUCAACCAUCAGUACAACAAGGCAUCGGGAGAGGCCGAGUAGUUGUAGCUCAGAUUCGAUGGACUCCGGAGCUCCCACUUGCCCUAUAUGAUGCCCGGACGGUGCCCUGGCCUCCCUUCCCUCUUUUCCCCUCCCAGCACCAUCGUUCCCCACCUCUGUCGCCUGCCAUCCUCGCGUUGUGUGGUUUGAAGAAAAUAAAUACUACCAUGUUUGUAUGUAUAUUCAUUGCUUGGGCCAAUAAAACGACGCGGCACCUUCCAGUGACGGCCCAAAAGAUAUCCCUGAAGGGCCCGAGGGGACUGAAGCUUGACUCCUCCACCGACGUCUCCCUCCCCCGGCCGUCCAGCCGCUCCAGCGCGCCGCCUCCAUCCCCAAUCCACCAGCUCCUCCCGCCUCCCCGUCGACGUCCAGCCGCCCCCUCGCCGUACAGCUACUCCGGACCCCGUCGACGUCCAGCGCCGCCUCGCUCCCCAUCGACCGGCGACUCCCUCGUCUUCCAGAUCCGCCUCACCGCCUCGUCCUCCUGUUUCCCUCCCAGCCUGCACUGCAUUGCUCAAGGAAGACCCAGACAAAGAAGUGACACUGCCACAGGGCAACCCUCUCCGUUGACAGGUCCACUGCGCGCGGAAGUCUUGUACGCACGGCCGGCAAUGUGCACGCCACAACCAGCCACCGGCCGCAUCCGGCUGAACGUCGGUGGGCAGGUGUUUGAGACGACGGCCGAUACUCUCACAGGCGCGGGCGAGGGAACCAUGCUCGGCACCAUGUUGGAACCUUGCUGGAAUGCCGGUGCCACCGGGGGCGUGCCCGAGCACUUCAUCGACCGCGACCCGGUUUGCUUUGCCUCGCUCCUCAACAUGCUCCGCACGGGCGAGCUCCACGUCCCGGCUGGCGUCCCAGAGCGGAUGCUCUUCCGAGAAGCGUCCUACUACGGCCUCCUCAACUGCAUCCGUGCUGCUCGCAUCGGCGAGUUUGACCUCGACAGGGCCAGGUUGGUCACGUCAGUGCCGCCGGGUCGGGCGCCGAUGGCCCGCCCGGUGAUCCGCGCGGCCCCGGACGGAGGGUGCUGCGUCACGCACGGCCCCGUCGUGCGGGUUUACAAUUGGAUGCUCGAGGAGCCUUUGCCGAUCUGCUUGACGCCCACCGAGCCGGUCCGCGACGCAGCCUACCUCGGCGACUCCAUGCUCCUCGUCGGGGGCGGUGGCUUGGCGGCUUUCUCCGCCCUCACCGGCGACCUGACUCAGCACUUCCGCUUAGCGCACGCCGGCGUGAAGAAGUCUCCACUGUUUAACGCGGGGGCACUAGUGGCCUUUGAUCAGCAAACCAAGCAAGCUUCAGUGGCUGGCAAGCACCAACGGCUAAUGGUGAUCAAGGCAUGCUCACCGGAAGAUUCUUGGUCGUCGUCUUCCAUCACUCUGGUGGAUUUCCGGGAUAUGAGCGUUGUUUGGUCAUGGUGCAGCGACACCAGGGGCAAGGACCACAGGCGCGUUGUCGAUGCUGUUGUGAUGGAGGACGAGAGGUCGGUCCGCUUGAUCAGCCAGAAGCAUGAUCUUGGGUUCCUCGACAUCCGUUGCGAGAGCUCCGGCCUGCAGCCUUGGCCGCGGACAGAUCAGAGCAUGGUGACGGCCCCGACGUGCCAUCCGAAGCUCGCCGUGCACAGCGGACUGCUCUUAGCAUCCAAGGAUGACACCAUCUCGGUGUAUGGCGGCCCAAAUCAUGACCACCUGAGGCUGGCGCUGCGAGGGAGCCAAGGCGGUGGCGCCAUUGCCGACUUCUCGGUUGGGGGCGACCGUCUCUUCGCGGUGCAUCAUGAGGAUAAUGUCCUGGAUGUCUGGGAGACCCUGCCGCGGCCACCUCCCAUCGCCUAA